rnacentral:rRNA from 1 species
CCUACGGGAGGCAGCAGUGAGGAAUAUUGGUCAAUGGGCGCGAGCCUGAACCAGCCAAGUAGCGUGAAGGAUGACUGCCCUACGGGUUGUAAACUUCUUUUAUCAAGGAAUAAAGUUAGGCACGUGUGCCUUUUUGUAUGUACUUUAUGAAUAAGGAUCGGCUAACUCCGUGCCAGCAGCCGCGGUAAUACGGAGGAUCCGAUCGUUAUCCGGAUUUAUUGGGUUUAAAGGGAGCGUAGAUGGGUUGUUAAGUCAGUUGUGAAAGUUUAGGGCUCAACCUGAAAAUUGCAAUUGAUACUGGCAGCCUUGAGGACAGUUGAGGUAGGCGGAAUUCGUGGUGUAGCGGUGAAAUGCUUAGAUAUCACGAAGAACUCCGAUUGCGAAGGCAGCUUACUAAACUGCCACUGACAUUGAUGCUCGAAAGUGUGGGUAUCAAACAGGAUUAGAUACCCUUGUAGUC